rnacentral:tRNA from 4 species
AGAGAGAACGGAUCUGGUGUUCCAACUGGUCUUCAAAACCAGUAGCAGACGGAUAAAACCGGCUGUGGCAGGUUCGAUUCCUGCUCUCUCUGCAA